UCUAUGCAAGUGGCUCGAUUGUUAGAUUUGCCAAGCAGUAAAGCUAAGUUGUAAUUUCUUGUCAAUUUUUACAGACAAUAAAUUAAUUCUAUUUAAAUUUAUACCAAGUUACACUUAUAAAGUACACUUAUAACAUUAAUUAUUAAAAAAAAAAAUUAUAAGAUAAUUUUGUUGAAAACCUAAUUUUAUUAAUCCUAUUUCAAGCAUAUUAUAAUGUUGGUUAUUAAAACGAAAAUACAAACGUUUACUUAUGACUUAGUAUUGAUAUUAUAAUAUAUUUAAAUACAGUAAGUACUACAGAAAAUAAUUUACUGUACGGAGUGCUAAUAUUUUUUAUUUAAAUACCUAAAUUGGUUUAAUAAAGAUAAAUUAAAAGGAUCUUAUUAUAUUAAUAGAUGUAAAUUUUCUUAAAAUUUCAAAAUAUUUACUGAACUUUUUUAUUAUACAAAUACGUAAAUCAUUGCAGUUUUUCAGAAUAGUACACAAAGUGUCAUUUUGUUUGGUAUACUGGCAACACUGACCAAUAGCUGCUUUAGUGAUGAGCUAUUAUCGACUUUCAACUUAUCGAGUGAUUAAGUUAAAGUCGUUGAAUUUUUACUUUAUCAUAUUAAAAUCGUCUGCAUAAAAAUUAAAGCUAGGUCUGCUCAUUUUUUGUAAUUUUCAUUAUAUUUAUAUUUAGUAAUGUAUAUCAAAAUGAAAAAGAUAAUAGUUUGACAGACUGCCAAAUACCGGAUAUUCGGCUGACUACGAGAGCGGAUGGUUGAAUAUUCGGCGACCGGAUAUUCAGCAAUGUCGAUAAUAAAAAUCAUUGUAAAAUGAUGAAAUCUUUUUAGAUUAAAAAUUAACUAAAUAAUUGCUGAUCAACUUAAGUCUCUAUUUAGAAUUUGAUUAAAAUAGUUGUUUACUUGCUGUGUUAUUUAAAUUUCUUGGAAGGUAAUUUUUCCCUUCUUUUUCCCUUUUCAAUAAAGUCUAUUACUAUUAUUAACUAUUAUAUUAGUAUUUACUUUACAAAGAAUUACUUAUGUUAAUUUUAAGAAAUUCUAGAGUUUCUUUUUAUAUAUGGUAUCCAGCCGAAUAGUAAACUUAAAGCUCGAUACCAGAUAGAUGCCGAAUAUCCGUUUCAUAAUAAUAGAUAAUAAAUAAUGACGUAGCAUAUAUAUAUAGACUAUAGUAUUAAAAAAACCUUUCGGAGAGCUAGAUUUACCGCAAAUUAGUGAAGACAGAGAUGUAACACUUACUCCUCAGGAAUGGUAACACGUUAAAGGUACCACAGACAUUAUAAUGUAUUCUAUUAACCCAAUGGUGUUCACGUUUAUAGACGACAUUUACCUCUUUUUAUUAGACUACUCUCUUUUUAUAGAUUUAAGUUGUUAUAACACCAGUAGAGUAGACAUCUACUAUCAAAUGGUACUCACUAGUUACUAGUUAAAAUGUGGAUUUUGUAACUUAUUUACCUAUAUUUAUUACAAGUACAGAAUCAAACUUAUUUACCUUAGGUAGAUACUUAUAUAAAAAAUAUUUGUUUAUUUCUUAUUAUUUAUAUCACACUUCAAUAUUUUUUUUUUUUUUAAUACCUAAACAACAAUUUUUAUAAUUUAAAAAAUUAUGUAAGUUAUUAUGCAAGGCACUUAACACAGACGUAUUAUUGUUUUGGUUAAGCAACGUAUAUACUAUAUUGUAAAUUGUAUAGACUUAUACUUUAAACAUCACAAUAUGCACUUGAAAAAAUGUUUUUCUUCUAUGAUAAAUUGAUAAAUCCUUGUCGCGUGUUAGCACUGUAGCUAAACUUUGUGAUACUGCUGUUAUGUUAUAGAUAUCCGUAGAAACAUAUAUACUUAGAUAUAAUAGAUACUAUAGUAUGUCGCAAUUAGUGAUGUGUUCAAUAUAUACCUAUAUAUAUCAGAAGGCAGCUACCUACACAGUUAAUAGAUUGGUAGCUAUGACAUUAAAAGCAAUUAAUUUAUGUACUCUACAACUGAGUACAUAAAUAUUUUAGAGUCAGCGCUCAGAUAAGUAUUAAUUUUUUUUUUAAUAAAUGAAAAUCGAAUCGUAGAUAUUAGAUAUACGCUUUAUAGAUUUUAUAUAACUGACUCCGCACGGGAAACGUGCCGCGGGAAUAAACUAGUUGUUCACUAAAAUAUAAUCCAUAGUACCAGAUAAUACCUAGUAACCAAAAUAACAAACACGAUAAGCGUAUGGUGAUAAGUCCAACAGAAAUUUAAUACGUUGGGUUGAAACACUCGCACAAUGAAUAAAAUUCAUUUAUUUCUAACCGACUUCAAAAAUAAAUCUCAUUUUUUAUAUAUAUUUUUUGUUUUAAUUUUGUUACCUCAUAACUCUGUUAGUUAUGAACCGAUUUAGAAUUGUUUUUUUAUUCGAAAAGAUUAUUUUAUAAGGAGUUACAGAUUAGUUCUAUAGAACUUUUACCAAAAUCGGUUCAGUAGUUUAGAAUUGCAAUUGAAAUAACUGGCUUUGCCACAAUUGAAGACGGUUUUCUUUUUAUAUAACACGAUCUUAAAUUAUAUUUACUAGCAAUUGCUAGAUAAAUAACGCUAUUGUGUCGUGUAAGAGGAAAAUCUAAUAAAACAGUCCACUUCUAGAUAACGUAUCGAGAUAAAACCUAUACCAGAUUUCAAGAUCGACCUUCAGGAACACAGCGGUGAAAAUUGUAAACAAUUUGGCAUGGUCCCAGUAUGAUGAUUGGUAAGAAUAAAUGUAAACAUCGAGUACACCCAGCUCGGCGAGUCAUUUGCAAAACAAAGAGGAGAACGCAGCCAAAAUAAAAAUAUUUAUGCAGCCGCUGACUCAGGCCUGGCUUUGUUUGGUCAGAGGAAUAACCCUUUUACAGGAAAAUAAAUUAAUGUCAAAUCAUAUACAGAACGGUUAAAGGGAGUUGGCCUAUAUAGAACUAGGUACAAACAGCCACGUCAGUGAGUCUACAGAACGUAAACACAAAUUCAGGAAAUCUUCAUAAACGCGUGGCAAUAUCAAAUUGAAAUAAAUAUAAAAUAUCUAAGUCUGCAACCUCUUGAAGCUGUAAAAAAAUCAAAAUUCUAAGUGAACGAAGUCAAAAAGUUGAUUCAUUUUACCAUAUAUUACAUAUUUGAGAUUUGCAAGGAAGUCAAAAUCUAUAAGGUACCUCCCAUUGAUCUAGAAUCAUGAAAUUUGACAAAAAGCAAUAUCGUAUAGCAUAAGAGAAAACUCCGAAAACCGUAUAUAUACCUAGGUAGUUACGUCACAAAAAAUAUCUUUUUGCGAACCGGCUCGCACCGGAUGUCUACUGUGUCUUACUUUAGCUGAGCUUUCAUUUAAAACAGAUAGUAUGAAAAGAAGAGCUCAAGAUAAAUAUUAUGUUAUUAUAUUAUAGUAUAACUACACCUAUAUGUUAGCGACGGAAGUGCGUCGCCGACAGUUCAUAAUUGCUGGAACUACAGUUCUUUGUCACGUUUUACUCAUACUUCGCCAAUUAUUUAUACAUACAAUAAGAAUUCCAAUCAUUCAGAUAUGUUAUUCAAAUCCAAUUAAUCUUUAUUAUGUUUUUGAUAGUUUAUCAUAGACAUUCUUACCUGGCUUUUGUUAUCUAUUUUCACCACACUAUAUUAUAUUUCCACCACUUA